GAGGAAGUAAAAAGUCGUAACAAAGGUUUCCGUAGGUGAACCUGCGGAAGGAUCAUUACAGAGUAAACUUGGUGGGUUGUUGCUGGCUCUCAAUUGAGCAUGUGCACGCCUGUCAUCUUUAUCUUUCCACCAUGUGCACUUUUUGUAGGUCUGGAUUGGACAAUAAGCCUAGCCCCUUGUGGGUUAUUGGAAAGUUGCUGAUUACAUCGGCUCUUUCUGUUACUGGCUGUUUCUUCCUAGACUCUACGAUUUAUCUAUAUACACCAUGUAUGUCAAUGAACGCAAUCAAUGGGCCUUUAAAAGCCUAUAAACCUAUAAUACAACUUUCAGCAACGGAUCUCUUGGCUCUCGCAUCGAUGAAGAACGCAGCGAAAUGCGAUAAGUAAUGUGAAUUGCAGAAUUCAGUGAAUCAUCGAAUCUUUGAACGCACCUUGCGCUCCUUGGUAUUCCGAGGAGCAUGCCUGUUUGAGUGUCAUUAAAUUCUCAAUCUAUACAACUUUGUGUUGUCUAGAUCGGAAGUGGGGGUUUMUUGUGUGGAAUCUAAUUCCUCACUCCCCUUAAAUGCAUUAGCUGGAAUGCCUCUGCAUAUYUGACUAUCAGUGUGAUAAUUAUCUAUWCUGUAGUUGUUGCAUGAGGGUAUCUGCUUCAUAAAUCGUCGCAAGACAAUUCUAUAUGACCAUCUUGACCUCAAAUCAGGUAGGACUACCCGCUGAACUU
rnacentral:rRNA from 1 species